AAUUUGAAAAUGAUUGUGGCCGUGAUGGUCCGAGAAUGUAAAGCCUUAGAGUGAUAAUCCUGUUCCACUCAAUGUAAGCCAAUAACAGCAAUGAUUUGCAUUUGUGUGGACCGUUUUAGAUAUUCAUCAAACUAAAAUGUUUCAAACAUUGGUGAAAAAAGUUUAUUUUACAUUGAAUAUCUUAAAGAAGGUUAGAGAGGUUUAAGGAGGCAAUUCCGGAUCUUGUUGGCUCACCAGCUGAAAAUGGUGAAUGCUGUGUUGCGUGGGGUUUCGGAAAACGUUUGUAGCAAGUGAAGAUUACCUACAUUGUGGAAAUAGGCCCUUCGGCCCUGCAAGUCUACACAGCCCCUUGAAGCAUCCCACUCAGACCCAUCCCCCUGUAACCCACACACCCCUGAACACUACAGGCAAUUUAGCAUAGCCAAUCCACCUACCUGCGCAGCUUAGGACUGAGGGAGGAAACCAGAGCACACCCACACAGACACAGGGAGAAUGUGCAAACUCCACACAGACAUUUGCCGGAGGCUGGAAUCGAACCUGUGUCCCUGGUGCUGUAAGGCUGCAGUUCUAGCCACUGAGCCACCAUGCUGCCCUAGAUCUUAAGACUGGAAGAGUUUAGAGGAACUGUAACAGACAGUACCACAGCUGUACAAGAGGUGUCUGCUGUUGGAAACAAUGUAAUGAAUACUGUUCGGAGGACAGAGCCUGAUUAAAGUCGUAGCAGCUGAAGGUGUGUGGGCUGAAGACACUACGCCGCAGAAUUCUUGCAGUGAUAUCCAGGCGCUGAGACGAUUGCACUCCAAUGCUGUCAGGCUUGCUGACUAUUCCAGCAACUUUUGUUUUUGCUCCUGAUACACACCAUCCAAAAUUCUUCAGGAGGAGUUCGAUAUAGUUCUGAGGGCCAAAGAGAUAAAAUGAUGUGGGGUCCCUGAGCUGGAUGAUCAGCCGUGAUUAAUUUGAAGAUCAGAACAGGCAAGAAAGGAUGAGUGGACGAUUCUUACUCCAAUUUUUGAAGUUUCCACCAUUACCAGAGAAAUGGAAAGGAGUGACGAGGAUAAAGUGAGAGCCAGGAAUAACAGCACAAUGUAUAAAUCACUGCGAAUGGAGGAAUGGGAUAAAGA